rnacentral:rRNA from 1 species
AUUGAACGCUGGCGGCAGGCCUAACACAUGCAAGUCGAACGAGUGGCGGACGGGUGAGUAAUGUCUGGGAAACUGCCUGAUGGAGGGGGAUAACUACUGGAAACGGUAGCUAAUACCGCAUACCAUCGGAUGUGCCCAGGGUGGUUUAGCUAGUAGGUGGGGUAAAGGCUAACCUAGGCGACGAUCCCUAGCUGGUCUGAGAGGAUGACCAGCCACACUGGAACUGUGACACGGGCCAAACGCCUACGGGAGGCAGCAGUGGGGAAUAUUGCACAAUGGGGGCAAGCCUGAUGCGGCAAUGCCGCUGGUAUGAAGAAGGCCGUCGGUUGGUAAGGUACUUUCUUCGGGGAGGCGUUACCCGCAGAGGAAGCGCCGGCUAACUCCGUGCCAGCAGCCGCGGUAAUUC